CUGCAUUUGUAUCUACACUGCGCCGCGUCAACACCGUUCGCCAUGCACUAAUUCGAUUUAAUUGCAUAGCGAUUCAAAGUUUUUCAACCUUUCAACGAUCCUGUGUGACGCAUCCUUUCUCUCACGUAAUUUGAUUUUCACCACAUUACUUACGACAAGUGCGCAAUUUUAUUGACAUCGGCUUUCGGAUUCUACAUUUAUAAUUUGUUCUUGUAUAAAAUUAAUACUAAAAACUAAGUCAAAUAAAUUGUGUAUCUAUUUACUCAUGGUCCUUCGAGCAUUACCGAAAGUCACCUUCGGAUGUUUAUAUAAAAAAAAAUUAAUUAAGUUAAAAACAAUUAUGGUGACACAAAACAAAACAAAGUGCGGGAACAAAGUUCAAAGUACAUAUACAUAUAUUCAAAACAUACAAUAAAAAGUGCAGUACAUAAAGUAAAGAAAUACAUAUAAACACAUAUUUAUGCAGCGGAGAAAUAAGUGCAGUGAGAUGCAGUGCUAGUAAACAUAUAUAUCUAUUUAUAUGUAUAUAUAAUAAAAAACUCAUAUACAAUAAAAUAUAAAAAAAUUGCAGUGACAUGAAAAUAUCCACAUAUACUCUUGUAAUCCAAUUAAUACAAUAAACGGGUGCGAAACUUAAAAGCACCUAAAUUCAACAACAUAAAUAACAACAUUCACUGCAUACAAGCGAUUUGAUUUCGUGAUGGCAAAGGAUAGGAAUUUUUUUGGCAGUUUACCACGGGAGCAAGAUGUUGUGCAAAGUCGCUUUAUCGAAAUUGUGGAUUCAUUAAAGGAUAAACGCAAUCAACUGAAAAUUGAACGCGAUUCAUUGAAUAAUAACUGCGAUCAAUUAAAGAUUGAAUGCCAUCAGUCGAAGUAUCAACGCGAUGAAUUUCUUCCGAAGCUGUUCCGUGCUGUUCUACAAAAUUGCUGAUUCCUAUGAUAUCACCUGAAGAACAAAUGUACGCAGCAGAAGACAAGAUAAUUUCUUUGUUAAAAAUAUUUCAAAAUGGAGCAUCAGUUCUAGAUUUUAUCGGUGCAUACGUGGCAACAUACGACAAAUUCAAAUUAGCCGAUUUGAUUCGAUUGUUCAUUCAAGGAAGAACUAAGCCAAAACUAGAAACAGAUCAAAUGCUUUUGCUCGAGAAUGAAUUGUAAAUUUUAAUUUUUUUAAAUUUAUUCGGUAAAUUGUUUUCUACAACUUUCUUUAGAUUUUAUUCACAUUUCGUUCAAAUUGUUCAAUAAAAUUAAAAUA